rnacentral:rRNA from 1 species
UACGUAGGGUGCAAGCGUUGUCCGGAAUUAUUGGGCGUAAAGAGCUCGUAGGCGGUCUGUUGCGUCGGCUGUGAAAACCCGGGGCUCAACUCCGGGCCUGCAGCCGAUACGGGCAGACUAGAGUUCGGCAGGGGAGACUGGAAUUCCUGGUGUAGCGGUGAAAUGCGCAGAUAUCAGGAGGAACACCAGUGGCGAAGGCGAGUCUCUGGACAUUUCCUGACGCUGAGGCACGAAAGCCAGGGGAGCAAACGGG